rnacentral:rRNA from 1 species
CAAAGGAGUGAUCCGGCAGAGGAUGGACAUGCGGCGCAUUAGCUAGUCGGCGGGGUAACGGCCCACCGAGGCUACGAUGCGUAGGGGUUCUGAGAGGAAGGUCCCCCACACUGGUACUGAGACACGGACCAGACUCCUACGGGAGGCAGCAGUGAGGAAUAUUGGUCAAUGGGCGGAAGCCUGAACCAGCCAAGUCGCGUGAGGGAAGACGGUCCUAUGGAUUGUAAACCUCUUUUGCAGGGGAGCAAGGCGCGGUACGUGUACCGCGAAGGAGAGUACCCUGAGAAAAAGCAUCGGCUAACUCCGUGCCAGCAGCCGCGGUAAUACGGAGGAUGCGAGCGUUAUCCGGAUUUAUUGGGUUUAAAGGGUGCGCAGGCGGACUGUUAAGUCAGCGGUAAAAUGUCGGUGCUCAACACCGGCCGGCCGUUGAAACUGGCAGCCUUGAGUGAGCGAGAAGUAUGCGGAAUGCGUGGUGUAGCGGUGAAAUGCAUAGAUAUCACGCAGAACUCCGAUUGCGAAGGCAGCAUACCGGCGCUCAACUGACGCUCAGGCACGAAAGCGUGGGUAUCGAACAGGCUUAGAUACCCUGGUAGUCCACGCAGUAAAC